rnacentral:lncRNA from 1 species
AUGGAACUGCUGUGUAGUCCCACCACAUUGGAUUUUGGAGACACCUUUCUUUCCACGGUAUCUGAACCCUGUUUCGUCUCGGUUUCUUUGCUUAAAGCAUUCACUGAAGGCAAAUGCCCCUUGAACCUUCACCAAGGUGCAACGCGAGCUGGUGACUGGCAGGGGAUGGACUGCUGCAUCUUCAGCGAGACUGACCCUGCGAGCGUGAGACCUUCAGUCGCACCACAGAGCCAACGUCCUGAUGCCUGCACCGUCACGCUUCCCUCAGCUUGAGCUUGCCCUCAACUGAAACACCCUCCUCUCCUGCAAUGGGAAGAACCACGCCACCACGUCCAGCAAAGGAAACAGUUCAGAGCAGGAAUUUGGGCACAGCCACUGUGUGACAGGCUCUUCAUCACCCACCCUGGGAAGUGGAGCUGGCAGCGAGGGAAGCCAGCAUCCAGCAGGGAAGGUACUGCUCUCCCUUGUACUACAAAGCAACCUCCGCCUUGAACAGCUCUCCGGUGGGGGGACUGGCUCGAUUUUCCCUCUGUGGUAACGCUGUGAGACCUGAUUAGAGCUUAAACAACCUCUUAAGGAAGGGACAUAGCAAUUAUACCUUCCCUGUUGGUCCCAACUGUCCUAGGAGGAAAUCAUUAGGCACAUUGCUACUUUUAAAACAGUCUUGAAUCAGCUUAUGAAAUAGAGCUGGCCAAAGCAAAAAUAACCCCCGAACUUCUAAUUAAAAAGAGAAACCAUUUUGAGAGUUUUUUUUAAACCAGUUAGGGAGGGGAGAGAGAAUUCUGCUGAAGAGGGUCCAACUUGCUAUAGUUUAGAAAAAAAUCAUACUUACAUUUUCUGUGAAAAUUGCUUUUAGACAGAAAAAAGAUGCACAAAAAUAUUCAUAGGAGUCAGAAGUCUACAGUAAUGUCUAUAGCGACUGCUCCUUCAUUUCUAAGCUCUGUAGGCCUCCGAAGAGCAAAGUUUAAAAAAAUCCCCCAAAAGCGCAAGUCGUUGUUGUCAGUGUAAUAUGAGAACAAGCGAGCUGCAAGUUUUCCACCCACCCCUUCCCUUCACAGUGGCUUUAUCCGUGCGGCCUCACAUGCUCCUACACAGCAGGGCUGCUAUUUUCCAAGAAUAACUGGUGUCUUCACUUAACAGCGCCUUAAAGGAGCCUGGUUUGCCGAUUCCCCUCUCAGAUGGAGCACUGCAUACAACUCAUCAGUUUUGAGCACGUCAGGGUUACUAUUCAGACCUGAGGUGCCGACAGAGGGGAUCGCGUUUAGCCGGGGGA